rnacentral:piRNA from 1 species
UGUAUAUCACCAAGUAUAAUA